rnacentral:lncRNA from 1 species
GCUGUGGUUAAAUACAUACUGAAUAUUCAGAAAUUAAUAUGUUGUUUUAACAGUGCAAAAAGGGUUCAGAUCACACAAUCUAAAAUUAGCAUUUUGAUCCUAGUAUUUUAUGUUCGUGGAAUUAAUGUUGUCUGAGCAUAGAAAUUAAAUCAGUGUUAUGCUUUAUUUAAUUAACAAUGAUUUGCAUUAAUAACUGAACAGAUUAUUUAACUCAUUUUCAGUAUCAUAAGAAUCACUUUUUUAAAAACUUUGAAAAAUAUGCAUUUUCUUUUACUUAAACAGGUUAAAUUAUCAGUACCCAACACCUUCCUUACAAUUAAUUUGGCUCGUUUCAGUUUCAUAAAAUUUUGACAAAGUAUUUACUUUGACCCUUUAACAAAAAUAUAAAAUUUAAAAAAAAAUUGAACCAACCAUUUCAUCAGAAAAAUUACACUGGUUAUAUAUUACACUGGUUAUAUAGCAGUUUAACAAACACUAAUUUUGAUCAUUGAUCAUUGAGGAGCUUUAUAUUCCCUUAACAACACAGUGUAAUUAAAACGCUUAGCUGAUUUUACAGAGUUAUCUCCCUGUAGUGUUAGGUACCACCUUAACAAAAAAUAAAAAUAACAAUUUGCAUCAAAC